CUGACACAACUGUAACUUAAUUUUAAGUGCAAUCCAGGUCAUUUAUUCCAUUCUUUUCAACAGUUUCCAUCUCCUUUGUCCCAGUACUCCUGAUUCUAAUUCCUCACAGUUUCACAACUCUGCAAUAUAUAGCCAUGUUCCGGAGAAGAGGAUACAUAAAUAGUAGAGCCAUUUAGAGAUACAUAUACACACAAAAUCAUAAUGGCAUCAUUGAAGCAUGAGAAACCUGUUGGCACCCAAGUCAGUGGACAAAACAAGAAGGAAGCUUCCAAAGUUAGUACCGAAGGUGCACCCAAAGCUUGCUGUUCAAAGUCAGCCCCAAAAACGACUGCUCAAAAGCCUCAAGAACCUAAGAAGAAGGGAUCAAAUGGAGGCAAACCAGCAGCGAAGAAUUGAUACGAUGUGCGACAAAAUCAUCAAGACCUGAAUUAGUAAUAAUCUAAUUAUAAAUAACUAUAUAUCAAAUAUCUCAAUUCAUAUAGACGAGACUGGUCAUCUAUGUAAGUCUUUCUGCAGCUUGUUAGGCUUGCCCUUAUGAAAUAAAAUAUUAUAUUAAUAGA